AGUCAACGCUGGCGGUAGGCCUAACACAUGCAAGUCGAACGGCAGCACAGUAAGAGCUUGCUCUUACGGGUGGCGAGUGGCGGACGGGUUAGGAAUACAUCGGAAUCUACUUUUUCGUGGGGGAUAACGGAGGGAAACUUACGCUAAUACCGCAUACGACCUACGGGUGAAAGCAGGGGAUCUUCGGACCUUGCGCGAUUGAAUGAGCCGAUGUCGGAUUAGCUAGUUGGCGGGGUAAAGGCCCACCAAGGCGACGAUCCGUAGCUGGUCUGAGAGGAUGAUCAGCCACACUGGAACUGAGAAACGGUCCAGACUCCUACGGGAGGCAGCAGUGGGGAAUAUUGGACAAUGGGCGCAAGCCUGAUCCAGCCAUACCGCGUGGGUGAAGAAGGCCUUCGGGUUGUAAAGACCUUUUGUUGGGAAAGAAAAGCAGCAGGUUAAUACCCCGCUGUUCUGACGGUACCCAAAGAAUAAGCACCGGCUAACUUCGUG
rnacentral:rRNA from 1 species